AAGAGAAAAGUUUACAACUUAAGAAAUUAUAACAAAGAAGUAACACAUAAUAAGUUUACCUUAUUUAGUGUGUAUCAAUCGAGUUUCUGACCUAUCAGCUUUUGAUGUUAGGGUAUUGGCCUAACAUGGCUAUGACGGGUAACGGGGAAUUAGAGUUCGAUUCCGGAGAGGGAGCCUGAGAAAUAGCUACCACAUCUAAGGAAGGCAGCAGGCGCGUAAAUUACCCAAUUCUAAAGAAGAGAGGUAGUGACAAGAAAUAACAAUACAAGGCCAUUUCAUGGUUUUGUAAUUGGAAUGAUGGGAAUUUAAAACCUUCCCAAAAUUCAAUUGGAGGGCAAGUCUGGUGCCAGCAGCCGCGGUAAUUCCAGCUCCAAUAGCGUAUAUUAAAAUUGUUGCAGUUAAAACGCUCGUAGUUGAAUUUCAAAGAAUCAAUAUUUUAAGUAAUGCUUUUGGUAUAAGAUGCUUAGGCAAUACAACGUAUCUGCUCUUUGCAUUCCUUAUCCAAAAUGUGUUCUUAUUAUAAAAAGGAUUCUUUUUAAAAUCUCCUUUACUUUUUGUACUGGAGAUUUUGUUACUUUGAGUAAAUUAGAGUGUUCAAAGCAAACAGUUAAAGCAUUUUACUGCGUUUGAAUACUACAGCAUGGAAUAACAAAAUUGAACAAGUCAAAACUCUGUUCCUUUUUCUUAUUUUGGCUUAGUUACGAUUAAUAGGAGUAGCUUGGGGGCAUUUGUAUUCAGAUGUCAGAGGUGAAAUUCUUAGAUUUUCUGGAGACAAACAACUGCGAAAGCAUUUGCCUAAAAUACUUCCAUUAAUCAAGAACGAAAGUUAAGGGAGUGAAGACGAUCAGAUACCGUCGUAAUCUUAACCAUAAACUAUGCCGACUAGGUUUUGGAUGAAAGAUUUUUAAAUAAGAAAAUUCCUUUUGGAAAUUUCUUAGAUUGCUUCCUUCAGUACCUUAUGAGAAAUCAAAGUCUUUGGGUUCUGGGGCGAGUAUUCGCGCAAGCGAGAAAGUUAAAAGAAUUGACGGAAGGGCACCACCAGGCGUGGAGCUUGCGGCUUAAUUUGACUCAACACGGGGAAACUCACUAGUUUAAGACAAGAGUAGGAUUGACAGAUUAAUAGCUCUUUCUUGAUUUCUUGGAUGGUGAUGCAUGGCCGUUUUUAGUUCGUGAAUAUGAUUUGUCUGGUUAAUUCCGAUAACGAACGAGAUCUUAACCUGCUAAUUAGCGGCGAAUACGUUAUAUUCCUACUUGAAAUUGAAUAUAGCUGAAUUUGCUUAUUUUGAAGAAUA
rnacentral:rRNA from 1 species